rnacentral:lncRNA from 1 species
AAAAACAUCAUUAAAGGAUCAAAACAAUUUGUCCUUUAGCGUUUUUGGACCUAAACGUAAAAACGUAAACUUUUGGGCCAAAGUGCAAAUACACAAAAGUAUCAAAACUUUAUGUAAUUGCAUAAAAGCCCCAAAAGUACUCCCUUUGAGGGAGUGGCCUGUUUUAGGGAGAGGAUAAGAGUGGUGUGUGUGUUGAUUUGUAAGUUUUGUCAAAAAACAUGCAAGUGUAUGUAAAAGGAUAUGUUUAUGAAAUAAUUCAAUCAUUAUUAUUUCAAUCAUCAUUUAUACAAAUAAUUAACACUUUAAAUACAUGAUAAAUCAUUUAAAAACAUAUCACAUAUACUUUAAGAAAUAAAUCAAAACUUUGAAUCAAAACACCAAACCUUUUUGUUCUUGGCAAGAACAUCAAGAACAAUGAA